ACGAACGCUGGCGGCGUGCUUAACACAUGCAAGUCGAGCGGAAAGGCCACUUCGGUGGUACUCGAGCGGCGAACGGGUGAGUAACACGUGAGUAAUCUGCCCCUGGCUUUGGGAUAGCCACCGGAAACGGUGAUUAAUACCGGAUACGACCGCUCCUCGCAUGAGGUGGUGGUGGAAAGUUUUUCGGCCAGGGAUGUGCUCGCGGCCUAUCAGCUUGAUGGUGAGGUAAUGGCUCACCAUGGCUUCGACGGGUAGCCGGCCUGAGAGGGUGACCGGUCACACUGGGACUGAGACACGGCCCAGACUCCUACGGGAGGCAGCAGUGGGGAAUAUUGGACAAUGGGCGGAAGCCUGAUCCAGCAACGCCGCGUGAGGGAUGACGGCCUUCGGGUUGUAAACCUCUUUCGCCUGUGACGAAGUUCUGCCUUUUUGGGUGGAGUGACGGUAGCAGGUAAAGAAGCACCGGCCAACUACGU
rnacentral:rRNA from 1 species